UGACCCGUGGCCCCAAGUAGCAUAAUCAAUUGUCUUUUAAUUGAAGGCUUGUAUGAAAGGUUGAAUGAGAUAUAAACUAUUUAUAUUUAAUAAAAAUUGAAUUUUAAUUAUUCAUAAAAAUGUGAAUGUAAUAAUAAAAGACGAGAAGACCCUAUAAAUCUUAAUUAUUUUAUUUUAAUUUAUAUAUAAUGAAAAAUUGAUUAAAUUUUAAUAAAAUAAUUUUAUUGGGGUGAUAAUUAAAUUUAUAAAACUUUAAUUUUUUAUUUAUAAUUAUAAUUAUUUUUUUGAUCCAUUAAUAAUGAAUGUAAAAUUAAGUUACUUUAGGGAUAACAGCGUAAUUAUUUUAAAGAGUUCUUAUCGAUAAAAUAGAUUGCGACCUCGAUGUUGAAUUAAGAGCUAUAGUUUAAAUGAAGCCCUGUA
rnacentral:rRNA from 1 species